rnacentral:tRNA from 1 species
UCCCUGGUCCAGUGGUUAGGACUCUGUGCUUCCACUGCAGGGGGCACAGGUUCAAUCCCUGGUCAGGGAA